AUUACAUCCGGUUUCGCGCCUUAUUUCAUGUUGACACAAGUGCAUAGAUUGAUUGACGGUCGCUUUAGUAUGAUUUGCAAGUUUGUUUGUUUAUUUGGCUGAUGUGUACAACUAUCAUCUAGAAUACACAAAUUGUUGAACGCCUUGUCAUUGAUGGAAUAAUGUUGGUAUUAUUUUUCAAUUGCGCUGCGUAUUAAGUAAAAGUACUUUCAUUUUUUUAUAAUAUAUUGUAUGUUUAUUCCCAAUCUGAAGCAUUUAUUGUAUAUGGUUACGAAUAAUAUUCUAUAUAAAUGUGUUUAGACAUAGGAAAGUUCAGUUUAAACUUCGUACAGCAAGCUAUAUAUUUUUGUGUGAAUGACCGUUGAUUGAAUCAACAAUUCUAUUGGCUUUUGUUGCAAAUGACUGUAUAUGUUGAUUAGGAUUAAAGCAAUAAUCUGAUCAAUGAUCGGCAGGUUAGUUCGAGUUGUUUAAUUGACAAUGUUCUUCCUACACUUAUGUAGAACAAGAUUUUCCCUAUCGAUUUCGUAAUCUGAUACAAAUCAUUCUAUAGCAGAAUAGGUUGAAUUUUCGGCUAAAAGAGUUAAUUUUUCUGAAUACGAUCAGAAGUAUAACAGGAAUUUAGCUCAAUUAUUCUACUAUUAAAUUAUUUAGUUUGCUUGCGUGCGCUAAGUGUUAAAGAGUUUUUAAUAAAAAUUCAAAAGCUGAUUUACCUCCUACACAGAUAUAUAGAUCACAAAGCGAUACUAUGGAUAGUUAUGAAAAUCUUGGCCUUGUUGGAGAAGGUUCCUAUGGAAUGGUGCUAAAAUGUAGACAAAAGGAGACAGGUCAAUUGGUUGCUAUAAAAAAAUUUUUAGAAAGUGAAGAUGAUAAGCAAGUGAAGAAGAUAGCUAUGAGAGAGAUUAAAAUGCUAAAGCAACUUCGUCAUGAAAAUCUAGUCAAUUUGAUAGAAGUAUUUCGUAAGAAAAGUCGACUUUUUCUGGUAUUUGAAUUUGUUGACCAUACUGUUCUCGACGAGCUGGAGAAAUAUCCUUCUGGCUUAAAUGAACAAAUAACGAAAGAGGUUCUAUGGCAAGUAAUUAGAGGAAUUGACUUUUGUCACGCCCAUAAUAUUAUACAUAGAGAUGUCAAACCUGAAAAUAUUCUAGUAAGCAAAUUACGCGUGGUUAAGCUAUGCGACUUUGGUUUUGCUCGAACGUUGGCCCUAUCCCCAGGCGAAGCUUAUACGGAUUACGUGGCAACACGAUGGUAUAGGGCGCCAGAAUUAUUGGUUGGCGAUACUAAUUAUGGUAAAGCCGUUGAUAUUUGGGCUAUAGGUUGUUUAUUUAUUGAGAUGCUUACUGGUGAUCCUCUCUUUCCCGGGGAAUCUGAUAUUGAUCAACUAUACCACAUUGUUAAGUGCUUCGGCAAUCUUAUUGCGAGGCACAGAGAUAUAUUUCAUAAAAAUCCCCUCUUCGUUGGUAUGAGAUUACCGAGUGUUAAUGAAGUUGAAAGCCUGGGGAAUCGAUAUCCAAGACUCGAUUCGAUAGCUUUAGAUUUAGUAAAGCAAUGCCUUUGUGUCGACCCGAGUGAGAGACCGACCUGCUCACAACUACUUCGCCAUGGAUUGUUUAUAAAAGAUGAUUUUGCAACAAAGUUCCCUGAAGAAUUAAAGGCUCGGAUCGAAGAAGAAGAGCGCCAGAAUCCUCUACCUCGAAAAAGUAUAAGAAAUAAGUCUGAUGGCGAUCGGAAGAGGAGAGAAGAAGGAGAUAGACCGAGAAGAAAAUUACCCGAUCCCGAAAAAUUAAAGAUCAAAUCUCAUAAUGAAAUAUCGACGACGCCUACGUCAUCUGACCCUAAAAAUGGUCAAAUCAGGUUUAUAAAUGAUUCUUUUGAAUAUUAAUCUUAUUGAAUAGCUACUGUUUAUCGAUUAUUUCAUAUGCCUAUUCUUUUUGUGCAGACAAUAUACGGGUGGUAAUCCGGCUUGGUAAGGGCAAUUCGUUCUUUUAAAAGGCAAAAUAUUCUCAUUAGCUUUGUCACUUUUGUAGGACAAUGGAGAAAACCCCACUUAAGAAAGUUCUACCGCAGGGGAGCAUUUCAAAUAAAUUUAAAAAAACGACCAACAAUAUUCCAUUCUCUCAGUUGCAAAGUAGAAAAAAUACUGUCCAAUUACCUUCCGUUAGGGGAGCCGAAGGUCCAACUCUUUCCAAGCCCACCCCAAUAAAAAACACAACAACAAUUAAGAAACCGUCCAUGAUUGCAUCUGUCCCUCAUAUUGCCAAUAUAGAUCCGUUCCACGACAGUCAGGCGUCUAACGCUGGUGGAGCGUCCAACUUGCCAUCCGUUUGAGCAUUUACCUAAAUGAAAUAGCUAAAAACAAAUCAAAAAAUGCAAUGUUUGUUUUUUUUUUUAAAUUUCAGUAUUAAAAAAAUGAUAUCAAGAAAAUAAAAAGGAAGAGAAAAAGAAGAAAAAGAUCUUAUCUAAAAAAGGGAUAAUUAUUAAGAAUUGUGUAUUGAGAGUUUUCUGUUUUCUUCCUUUUUUAAGAUCUUCUCUUAUGCUAAUCAGUAUUGGCAUUCCUAAUUUGUAUUAUUGUAGCUAUAAACUACUUUAUCACUAUUAAAAACAAUACAAUUUAUACAUUGUUAUUUGUAAUUAUUGAAGAGUAUGUAUUAUUUGUACAUAAAAUUUAUCUUUUUUAUAAGUUACUCUCAAGAGUAGAAGGAAUAGAAGAUAGAAUAUCUCUCUGUCUCUGUCUCUCUCUUGCUCUUUCUUUUCUUUCUUUCAAGGUA
rnacentral:misc_RNA from 1 species